GUGGUUGUAGUUUAAUGGUAGAAUUCAUGGUUGUGGUCCGUGCGGCGCGAGUUCGAUUCUCGCCUUCCACC
rnacentral:tRNA from 1 species